rnacentral:tRNA from 1 species
UCCCCAGUGGCGCAAUUGGUUAGCGCACGGUACUUAUAAUCAGUACUUGUGAGUGAUGCCGGGGUUGUGAGUUCGAGCCUCACCUGGGGAA